GACGAACGCUGGCGGCGUGCUUAACACAUGCAAGUCGAACGGUGAAGCGCCUUCCUUUUUGGUGGGUGUGGAUGAGUGGCGAACGGGUGAGUAACACGUGAGUAACCUGCCCCCUUCUUCUGGAUAACCGCAUGAAAGUGUGGCUAAUACGGGAUAUUCUGGGUCUGUCGCAUGAUGGGUCUGGGAAAGAUAUUGUUUCGGUGGGGGAUGGGCUCGCGGCCUAUCAGCUUGUUGGUGGGGUGAUGGCCUACCAAGGCGGUGACGGGUAGCCGACCUGAGAGGGUGGACGGUCACACUGGGACUGAGACACGGCCCAGACUCCUACGGGAGGCAGCAGUGGGGAAUAUUGCACAAUGGGCGCAAGCCUGAUGCAGCGACGCCGCGUGAGGGAUGGAGGCCUUCGGGUUGUGAACCUCUUUCGCCAGUGAAGCAGGCCUGCCUCGUUUGUGGGUGGGUUGACGGUAGCUGGAUAAGAAGCGCCGGCUAACUACGUG
rnacentral:rRNA from 1 species